UACGUAGGUGGCGAGCGUUGUCCGGAUUUACUGGGCGUAAAGCGCGCGCAGGCGGUCGUACAAGUCGCGUGUGAAAGCCCCCGGCUCAACUGGGGAGGGUCACGCGAUACUGUUCGACUCGAAGGCAGGAGAGGGAAGUGGAAUUCCCGGUGUAGUGGUGAAAUGCGUAGAUAUCGGGAGGAACACCGGUGGCGAAGGCGGCAUCCUGGACCAAUAUUGACGCUGAGGGGCGAAAGCCAGGGGAGCAAACGGG
rnacentral:rRNA from 1 species